rnacentral:rRNA from 1 species
CCUACGGGCGGCAGCAGUGAGGAAUAUUGGUCAAUGGACGAGAGUCUGAACCAGCCAAGUAGCGUGAAGGAUGACUGCCCUAUGGGUUGUAAACUUCUUUUAUAAAGGAAUAAAACGAGGCACGUGUGCCUUUUUGCAUGUACUUUAUGAAUAAGGAUCGGCUAACUCCGUGCCAGCAGCCGCGGUAAUACGGAGGAUACGAGCGUUAUCCGGAUUUAUUGGGUUUAAAGGGAGCGUAGAUGGGUUGUUAAGUCAGUUGUGAAAGUUUGCGGCUCAACCGUAAAAUUGCAAUUGAUACUGGCAGUCUUGAGUACAGUAGAGGUAGGCGGAAUUCGUGGUGUAGCGGUGAAAUGCUUAGAUAUCACGAAGAACCCCGAUUGCGAAGGCAGCUUACUAAACUGUGACUGACAUUGAUGCUCGAAAGUGUGGGUAGCAAACAGGAUUAGAUACCCUUGUAGUC